rnacentral:lncRNA from 1 species
GAUGCGGUACUGCUCCCGGAUCUGGUCGACAUUCGGCCCCGAAAGUGAAGAUGCCUCCACCUCCGGGGACGACCAAGUGUCUUCGGUCGGCUCUCCCGACCGACUACCUCGCGGGGACGUCCUUGCCAUGAGUACAAGAAAACGGCAAGGAAGAAAGAAAGAAAAAGGGGGAAAGCUACCUUAGCCCUUGGAAGGAAAAAAUCGCAAAGGGGGC